CCUACGGGGUGGCUGCAGUGGGGAAUAUUGGACAAUGGGGGGAACCCUGAUCCAGCCAUGCCGCGUGUGUGAAGAAGGCCCACGGGUUGUAAAGCACUUUCAGUGAGGAAGAACGCCUGGUGGUUAAUACCCAUCAGGAAAGACAUCACUCACAGAAGAAGCACCGGCUAACUCCGUGCCAGCAGCCGCGGUAAUACGGAGGGUGCGAGCGUUAAUCGGAAUUACUGGGCGUAAAGCGCGCGUAGGUGGCUUGAUAAGCCGGUUGUGAAAGCCCCGGGCUCAACCUGGGAACGGCAUCCGGAACUGUCAAGCUAGAGUGCAGGAGAGGAAGGUAGAAUUCCCGGUGUAGCGGUGAAAUGCGUAGAGAUCGGGAGGAAUACCAGUGGCGAAGGCGGCCUUCUGGACUGACACUGACACUGAGGUGCGAAAGCGUGGGUAGCAAACAGGAUUAGAUACCCGUGUAGUC
rnacentral:rRNA from 1 species